UACACACGUACUACAAUGGUAGGGACAGAGGGCUGCAAACCCGCGAGGGCAAGCCAAUCCCAGAAACCCUAUCUCAGUCCGGAUUGGAGUCUGCAACUCGACUCCAUGAAGUCGGAAUCGCUAGUAAUCGCAGAUCAGCAUUGCUGCGGUGAAUACGUUCCCGGGCCUUGUACACACCGCCCGUCACACCAUGGGAGUUUGUUGCACCAGAAGCAGGUAGCUUAACCUUCGGGAGGGCGCUUGCCACGGUGUGGCCG
rnacentral:rRNA from 1 species